CAUAAGUCAAAGGGUCUGGAGUUUUGACACAGUGGUAACACUGAUGACUUUGCUAAGGUGCCCUGUGCCACCCACAACAUACCCAGACUUUCAGCUGCUCAGGAGGUGACAUCCCAGACGAUGAGUGGAACCUGCUGUAUGUGGCAGUGAGCUCUCUGGUCAUCACAAGAACAUCACCAACAUCCUCACACUGGCUGGGGAGUACUUCCUGAGGACAGAGUUGACCAGCGCCCUGCUGACCGAGGGCCAGCCACCCUGCUGCUCCGUGCGGAGUGUCAUAACCACAU